rnacentral:misc_RNA from 1 species
CGCACAUUGCGCCCCUUGGUAUCCCGGGGGGCAUGCCUGUUCGAGCGUCAUUUCAGCCCAUCAAGCAUCAGCUUGGCAUUGAGGUUUUUUACCCUUUGUAACAAAAAUGGUAGACUUCUAAAUAUGUUAGCAGUUCAAAAGUUGAACUCUAAGUGUUUCAAGAAAUUAUUUUUCCUCACUUCAAGAGCUACUACUAUAAAACUUUGCUUCCAAUACCCCAAAUAUCUCAAGGUUGACCUCGGAUCAGGUAAGGAUACCCGCUGAACUUAA